rnacentral:rRNA from 1 species
CGGCGAGUGAAGCGGCAACAGCUCAAAUUUGAAAUCUGGCUCUUUCAGGGUCCGAGUUGUAAUUUGCAGAGGGUGCUUUGGCGUUGGCUGUGGUCUAAGUUCCUUGGAACAGGACGUCACAGAGGGUGAGAAUCCCGUACGUGGCCGCCAGCUUUCGCCGUGUAAAGCCCCUUCGAUGAGUCGAGUUGUUUGGGAAUGCAGCUCUAAAUGGGAGGUAAAUUUCUUCUAAAGCUAAAUAUUUGCCAGAGACCGAUAGCGCACAAGUAGAGUGAUCGAAAGAUGAAAAGCACUUUGGAAAGAGAGUCAAAAAGCACGUGAAAUUGUUGAAAGGGAAGCGCUUGCAGCUAGACGUGCCUUGGGUUGAUCAGCCGGACUUUUGCCCGGUGCACUCUUCCUUUGGCAGGCCAGCAUCAGUUUGGGCGGCUGGAUAAAGGUCUGUUAAACGUGACUUCCUUCGGGGAGAGCUUAUAGGGCAGACGACAUGCAGCCAGCCUGAACUGAGGUCCGCGCAUCUGCUAGGAUGCUGGCGUAAUAGCUGUAAGCGGCCCGUCUUGAAACACGGACCAAGGAGUCUAACAUCUAUGCGAGUGUUUGGGUGUCAAGCCCGAGCGCGCAAUGAAAGUAAACGGAGGUGGGAACCCUCGGGUGCACCAUCGACCGAUCCUGAUGUCUUCGGAUGGAUUUGAGUAAGAGCAUAGCUGUUGGGACCCGAAAGAUGGUGAACUAUGCCUGAAUAGGGUGAAGCCAGAGGAAACUCUGGUGGAGGCUCGCAGCGGUUCUGACGUGCAAAUCGAUCGUCAAAUUUGGGCAUAGGGGCGAAAGACUAAUCGAAC